CCCCUGAAGUAGUUUUCCUGUGUUUUGUCACCUCAUCUCUUGAUGUGUAUCAGUUCAGGAGUGUUAAUAGGAGUGUUAAUAUGUUAAUAUGUUUUAUGGAAAAAAUAGUUACAAUUUAAAUAGCCUACCUGACAACAUGUAGGCCUACUGAUUAGUAACUUUGAAAACUGCUGUCUGUCAGCAACUCAGCUCAAGUAGCAGUUCUACUAACUAGUAAUAUCUCAUUCCAGGUAUUCAUUCUCUUACUCUGUCCAUUAGAAUAAAUUAUUGUUCAGAAAUACUUUAUUUUUCAGUUCUCUCCAUAUAGUGUUUUCUGCUCUGUCGUCUCAAAAUGGAUCCUGAACAAAAUAACAACUUUACUUUGUGUUUCAGCUCAGCCGUCUCCCCACCCUGAUAAUAAAGUGUUUUAUUGGUAUCUUCCACUAGAUGGCAGUAAACACCUGCUGUAACUAGACUUUACAACUAUGUGUUCGGUUUUAUACAGGCAGUGUCCCAGAGGAGGAGUGCUGAUCUAGGAUCAGGUCCCCCCUCUCCAUGUAAUCUGAUUCAUUAUAAUCUAGGAUCAGGUCCCCCCUCUCCAUGUAAUCUGAUUCAUUAUGAUCUAGGAUCAGGUCCCUCCUCUCCAUGUAAUCUGAUUCAUUAUAAUCUAGGAUCAGGUCCCUCCUCUCCCUGUAAUCUGAUUCAUUAUAAUCUGGGAUCAGGUCCCCCUCUCCAUGUCAUCUGAUUCAUUAUGAUAUAAGAUCAGGUCCCCCCUCUCCAUGUAAUCUGAUUCAUUAUGAUCUAGGAUCAGGUCCCUCCUCUCCAUGUAAUCUGAUUCAUUAUAAUCUAGGAUCAGGUCCCUCCUCUCCAUGUAAUCUGAUUCAUUAUGAUCUAGGAUCAGGUCCCUCCUCUCCAUGUAAUCUUAUUCAUUAUGAUCUAGGAUCAGGUCCCCUCCUCUCCAUGUAAUCUGAUUCAUUAUGAUCUAGGAUCAGGUCCCUCCUCUCUAUGUAAUCUGAUUCAUUAUGAUCUAGGAUCAGGUCCCUCCUCUCCAUGUAAUCUGAUUCAUUAUGAUCUAAAAGGCUAAACUGACCCUAGAUCAGCUCUCCUGCUCUUUAUGAAUACUGUCACAGGUGACUCCUCAAGAUCAGGCUCGUGAUGUAUAAGUUCUAUUCUUUAAGAAUCAAUUACUAUCAUUCAUUGAACUGCUUUGCCAUGAACAGAUCUGUGAGGUCUUAACUUAAAGGUACUUUAUAGAUCUUAUGGUCAUUUUAAUGGGGUUGAACAUCCAUCCAAUCAGAUUGUGUAAAGGAUUUUAUGAGUUCAGAAAAAUAGCAACUUGGAAGCAUCUCUCUGACCUCACCCUGCUGAAACACACUCAAGUAAAGACCACAUAUCUACAGUUAAAUGCUUGUCUGUUUCUACCCACUUUUACAGCCAAUGUAUGGACUGGUAUCCAUAUGAAUCAGUAGAAUAUACAGACCAGUUAACCACCUCUCAGUAGAUGGACCCACACAGAACUUUAUAUAUACAGACUAGUUAACCACCUCCCAGUAGAUGGAACACAGAACUUUAUAUAUACAGACCAGUUAACCACCUCCCAGUAGAUGGACCCACAC
rnacentral:lncRNA from 1 species